ACGGGUGCGUAACGCGUGGGAAUCUGCCCUUAGGUUCGGAAUAACAGCUGGAAACGGCUGCUAAUACCGGAUGAUAUCGCGAGAUCAAAGAUUUAUCGCCUGAGGAUGAGCCCGCGUUGGAUUAGGUAGUAGGUGGGGUAAAGGCCUACCAAGCCGACGAUCCAUAGCUGGUCUGAGAGGAUGAUCAGCCACACUGGGACUGAGACACGGCCCAGACUCCUACGGGAGGCAGCAGUGGGGAAUAUUGGACAAUGGGCGCAAGCCUGAUCCAGCAAUGCCGCGUGAGUGAUGAAGGCCCUAGGGUUGUAAAGCUCUUUUACCCGGGAAGAUAAUGACUGUACCGGGAGAAUAAGCCCCGGCUAACUCCGUGCCAGCAGCCGCGGUAAUACGGAGGGGGCUAGCGUUGUUCGGAAUUACUGGGCGUAAGGCGCACGUAGGCGGCUUUGUAAGUCAGAGGUGAAAGCCUGGAGCUCAACUCCAGAACUGCCUUUGAGACUGCAUCGCUUGAAUCCAGGAGAGGUCAGUGGAAUUCCGAGUGUAGAGGUGAAAUUCGUAGA
rnacentral:rRNA from 1 species